UUUGAGGUUUGGGGUUUGGGGUUUGGGGUUUCAGGUUUGGGGUUUGAGGUUUGGGGUUUAGAGGUUUCGGAUUUUAGGGAUUUAAACAUAAUACUCGUUAAUUUCACGUAAACACAAAUCGUCGUAAAGACCACAUAUAAGAAGUCGUCGUAAAUUCCACGUAGGCAGAAAUCGUCGUAAAGACCCCGUAUAAGAAAUCGUCGUAAAUUCCACGUAGGCAGAAAUCGUCGUAAAU
rnacentral:lncRNA from 1 species